rfam:Triticum aestivum genome assembly, contig: Triticum_aestivum_CS42_TGACv1_scaffold_129437_2BL
GUAGUACUCCUUCCGUCCGGAAAUACUUGUCAUCAAAAUGGAUAAAAGGGGAUGUAUCUAGAUGUAUUUUAGUUCUAGAUACAUCUCCAUUUAUCCAUUUUGAUGACAAGUAUUUUCGGACGGAGGGAGUAUUUC